UGCAUGAGAAUCGAAUAUCAGCUCAGCUUAAGUUUGCUUUGGCUUACUUUUUUCAUGCUGCCAUUUUACACAAUUCAUUCCGAUUGGAGGUUCUAAGCAUAAGGCUGAUGCAAUAUGUCAUAAGCAAAGUGUAAUCAAAAUUUCGAAAUGGGAAGCCUGCACAAUAAUGUUUUUCGGCUUUGAUGUAUAAGUAGAAGAAUUUCCAAAAGGAAUAUGCUAAAAGGGUGUACGGUGUGGCAACUCUAUACGGCAAUUCAUUGUGGUAGCUCUGGAAGUAUUUUGUUUGCUCAAAUGACAGUGUUAGGAAGCGUUUAUAUGUUAUAUGCAAAGCUAAAAUAAAAAUUGCAUUGUAAAAAUAAUUUUAUAAAAUUAAAAGACAUCUUAUUGAAAAGAAGGAAAUGUAAAUGUGUGACACGCAUUUGAAAUCAAAUACUUAUUGUGAAAUUUGUUUUUAUAUAUCACUUUUUAGGAAUUGAUAAUGGAUAUAAGUUUAUUUACAUUGAAAAUCAGACAAAAACAACAGAUUCGGUUCUACCUAAUUUUCAAAUUGCAAUUCACUGGAAACAUAAAUCCAAUAAGCAAUUGAAAUUAUCUUGUAUGCCUGCUGUAUAAGCCAACUUCAAAGCGGAAAAUUAAGUCGUAUUGGUAAUUCAAUGACAAUCGAACUGACGCACGGAAAAUUUUGCCUAGGGGCUGCUGCUGCUACUGCUGCUGCAGACAAAUCACAGCCAUGUCCUUGAAUGGCAAAUUGCGACACAGCAAAAUGAAAACAGCGCGUGUAGGUAAACAUGGUCGGGAGCCGACGCGACGCGCAAGGAUGUGACAAAAACAACAAUCAGUGAAGCGCUCUUCAGGAACAGUCGUUCCAGGAUAUAUACAUAUGUAGACAUGCCAAGGAUGCCAGACUGCACACACGCACACGCCCGCCGACUUCAAGGAUCCACGCGCCCUCUCACCCAUCCCCCCGCUUGGCACUUUCACUUUUCCUUCGUGAAGCAGGGUCGUCGUUGUCGGGUUCAUGGCAGUCCGAAGCAUCGGGACCUUGGACACUUGUGGGCGUCGCCAGUGUUGCCACUCCGCCACCCAUAAACUGUGGGCGUUCGCUUUUCGCAAGCUACUUGUGUAUUCCUUAUGCUGCCGCGCGCGUUCAUUUUAAUUAAAUGCAAAGCAUUUGACAAGCCACAGCAUAAAUAUGCUUUAAUUAACAAAAAGCUAUCACGUUUUAAGGGUCUGGCAACGCCAGUUGCCGAGCAGUGGCAGCCAAGAAGCGUACGUGUGUUAUUAAUUCAUUUGGAAAAUUUAGGCAUUCAGAAAGGAUAUUACAACUGUCGGCACCCAGUGUAUUACUUUGCCCAACUUGUUUUUGUUAUGAAUGUGAAGAAGCACAACAAAAAUGCGACAGCAGACUGGCAAAGACGUCAAGGACAUGGGGUUGAGUGAAGCCUGCGCUUGACACUGGGGCUUGUGUACAGAGCGUGGGCUUUUAUUAUGCGAGCGCAUGCCAGAAAGAGAGUGGUAGCGGGAGAGAGCAAGAGAGUGUGGCUGUCCAGCGUUUGCCCAAGGAUUUCAAGCGAAAUUCUGCGUCGUAAUUUUCAAUAUGGCAGCUAAAAAUCUCCACAGUAACCCCCACGCACGCAAGCCCCAUUUCAAGAGAGGGGCGAGGUGGCAGCCGGCAAAUGCGUACAACGAAAAUAUGGUAUUUACAUACAUAAUAUAAUAUAUGUAUAUUAUGUAGCCUGGAUGGACGCACGCAGACAUUGUUGGCGUUGUUGUGACGCGUAUCGAUUUGUUUAUGUUUAUUAAAUGAAAAUUCACAAGGGA